GGGGUGAGAUGCAGGGGGAGACAACAUGGAUUCACUGGGGUACUGCGAGUGACAUGUGAUUUGCUCACAGCUGAUAUUCUUUGCUGUAUGCUUUGACAUGAGGACUUUGAGUGUGGUGCCAAUGGUGGUGUAAGUGUGAGCCAUCUUGGAAAAGAGAAGAGUGUGCACUUACAAGGGUGAGAAGCCUGUGUGUGCUUACAGAAUCUCCACAUGUGGGUCUCACUUUGAGAAUCAUGCUCUUUGGAAGUGGAGUGUAAAGUGGGCGGUAGACUCUUCUCAAAGCUGAGUACAGAACUGGGACAGACAGGGAAGAAGUACCAUGAGGGAAGUGUGAAAAGGACUUUGGAAAGAGACUUAAAAGAGCCUGUACGUGCUGAAGGAUACGCAUACAGCAUGCUUGCAUGUGAGAUGAUUGCUGUGGGUGUGCGGCUGUCUUUGACUGGAUGACUGUGGACAUGUGCCAUGGACACUUGACCACCCAUUGUGUAUCCUCUUGUGUGUGCCAGCAUGUUGGAGACAGUCAGUGUUUGAGCGCAGUGGUUGCUGUGCAUCUCGAGAUACAUCAGAUGUGCACUCAAAGAUCUGAGCAUGUUGAAAAGCAGGUGCAGAAGGGCCCUCCUGUCUGUAUGACCCGUCUUGAAACACGGACCAAGGAGUCUAGCAUGAGUGCAAGCUUAUGGGACUGAAGACUCUGUGUGCAAUGAAGGUGGAGUCCCAGAUUUGUGCAUGAGUGUUCAAACAAGCAGGAGGACAAGGUUUGAGUCUGAGCACUCCUGAUAGGACCCGAAAGAUGGUGAACUAUGCCUGGAAAGGGCCAAGUCAGGGGAAACUCUGGUGGAGGCUCGUAGCGUUACUGACGUGCAAAUCGUUCGUCACACCUGGGUAUGGGGGCGAAAGACUAAUCGAACCAUCUAGUAGCUGGUUCCCUCUGAAGUUUCCCUCAGGAUAGCUGAACUUGCAGGACUUUCACCAGGUAAAGCGAAUGAUUGGAGGAAUUGGGGGUUGCAGACCUUUGACCUAUUCUCAAACUUUUAAUGGGUGUGUUGUGUGGUUGCUUAGCUGAACCAACAGCUAAUGAUGACUCUUAGUGGGCCACUUUUGGUAAGCAGAACUGGCGAUGAGGGGUGAACCUGAUGAUGGAUUAAGGCACUCAAAUGCUUGCUCAUCAGAAACUGUAAAGGGUGUUGGCUCAUUCUGACAGCAGGUCGGUGGUCAUGGAAGUUGAAAUCCGCUUGGGAGUGUGUAACAACUCACCUGCCGAAUGGACUGGCCCCAAAAAUGGAUGGUGCUCCAGCAGGUGGCUGAUACUUGUCAAUUGUGGAUUCUAACCACAAUGUGUAGGAGGGUAUGGUUGUUAGUGCCGAAACAUUGGGUGUAGACCCGGGAACCGCCCCC
rnacentral:rRNA from 1 species